rnacentral:rRNA from 1 species
GACGUAGGGCGCGAGCGUUGUCCGGAUUUAUUGGGCGUAAAGAGCUCGUAGGCGGCUUGUCGCGUCGAAUGUGAAAACCCACGGCUCAACUGUGGGCUUGCAUUCGAUACGGGCAGGCUAGAGUUCGGUAGGGGAGACUGGAAUUCCUGGUGUAGCGGUGAAAUGCGCAGAUAUCAGGAGGAACACCGGUGGCGAAGGUGGGUCUCUGGGCCGAUACUGACGCUGAGGAGCGAAAAGCGUGGGGGAGCGAUCCGG